GGUGUUGGAGUGGUGGAGACAUUUGAGUGGACUUUCCCUUUGAAGUGUCUCCCCUCAGGACACUAACCUGAGAACCAUGAAGAUAAGCUCCAUAUGCAUCAAAUAUAGCUGCAAGCAAAGCAAAAAUUGUCAUGUAUGGACAUUUCUGUUCACAACUUUUUUCUGUAAAAAACAACCCUUGUCUAUUUUAUUCACAACGAAAAUCAAUUCUUUUCCCCUAUUUUUCUAAGUCUUGAAUGUUCUACUCGAUUUCCUGUGUAAGGAUCAACACAAAGCAGAACUAGAUCUGGGGGGAGGAGGAGGAACAUACCCUGGUGAGUGUUGUCUGCUCCUGGACCUCUCCAUGCAUCCAUGAGCAGCUUCCCCUGUAUUUCUUCUCUCUCCUCCAACUUUUUCAGAGUUCUUCAAAGUUUUCUGCUGUUUUUGAGCAAAUUGAGUGAGUUCAUCUCCUUAAUUUUGAUAGAUUAGAGGGGAAAGGUUGGGGGUGGCGGCGUGGAGGGUUGGGGAGGUGGAAGAAGAGGGACGAGGGAUGUGUCUUUGGGGGGGUUGGGGGGCUAGGUUUACCCUAGGGACAUGGGAGAUCACCUGGGAAGAAAAAGUGAUCGAGAAAAGCAGAGCAGCUUUCUCUCUUUGUGUGUAUCCCGGGCUCUUUAUGUUUUCUCGUGACAACCCAAAAAAGCCCACAACCUUUCCCACAACCCAAAAAAGGCCCACAACACAAAGGCCCACAACCAACAACCAACAAGGGAGAAGUUUUCAACCCAAUUGUGCGGGGGAGAGAGGAGCCUGUCUCGGUCUGCCAGGUGAUCGGCCUGCGACAAAUAACGUGCAACGUCAUCACCCACGUCAUUCGACUGAGACCAUUUUAUUUCUCAUUCGAAUGAGUUCCAGGCACUCCCUAUCUAAUUUCUCGAGCAGCGUAUUUUGCCCUCAGGGCAAGAAGGAAGAUCACGCCUACAGAACAAGAAGUUCAGGAGAUCACGCGCCAGACAACAUGUUGGCGUCCGUGCUCCGGCGUCUCCUGCACCGCGGGAUCCUCGCCCGCCGCCCGGCGCCACCGCUAGCUCCUCGUCCUCGUCUCUUCUCCACCAGCCACGUUCCUCAGGGUCAUCCGCCACCAGUCCAAUCGGUAGGUCUCGGGCCAGAAGUGGACGCGGCGAGGGGUGCGAGCGAGCUGUCGUUGGACGACGGUGUAAGGGUGUUCAUGCGAGCCGACUUCAAGUACCAAAACAUGAUAACAGCCUUCGGGCUCGCUUUUACCGGAUGCAACGUUGAGCGAUACAUGAGGAAACAACGUGAGAAGAAAGCAGAGGACGGAUCCACCAUGGAUGCGUUGGUUGGUCUUGCUCUUAAUAUGGAGUAGGGGGUUUUUUCUAGAAUAUUUUUUGAAGUGACGAAUUAGGAGUUUUGGUUCAGCCAGAAACAGGUUGGCAUUGUUGUAUUACCCCGCCUUUAAGUUUUUUUUAAGGGGUCACCACCACACUUUGUUUAAACGACAAUAACAUCCGGUACAAAUAAAACAUCAGGAGUGGUGGAUAACCAGAAA